rnacentral:rRNA from 1 species
UACGGAGGGUGCAAGCGUUAUCCGGAAUCACUGGGUUUAAAGGGUGCGCAGGCGGCUUGAUAAGUCAGGGGUGAAAGCCCGCAGCUUAACUGCGGAACUGCCUUUGAUACUGUCGAGCUUGAAAGAGGUUGAGGUCAGCGGAACGUGACAUGUAGCGGUGAAAUGCAUAGAUAUGUCACAGAACACCGAUUGCGAAGGCAGCUGGCUGGAACUACUUUGACGCUGAGGAACGAAAGCGUGGGGAGCGAACAGG